rnacentral:misc_RNA from 1 species
UCACUGCUUGCGCAGGCAGUCUCGCUAGAGUCCCCGGCAUUAUCCGCUGGUAACUAGCAUGUCAAGCCUAGGUAAGGUUCUUCGCGUUGCAUCGAAUUAAGCCACAUGCUCCGCCGCUUGUGCGGGCCCCCGUCAAUUCCUUUGAGUUUUAGCCUUGCGGCCGUACUCCCCAGGCGGGGUGCUUAAUGCGUUAGCUUCGGCACGGAGAGGGUUGAAGACCUCCCCACACCUAGCACCCAACGUUUACGGCUGGGACUAC